GUGAGGCUAUGUUUAUAAACUGUAGCCAAAUAAUGAGGUUAUAUAAUCCUGGAAUAAAGAACAAGGUUAUGUUUAUGGAAUACAGGUUAAUAAUGAGGUUUCAUUUAUGAAAAAAAACACAGUUGACAGGUUAUAUGUUAAUUAUGAAGUUGUAUCUUAAUUAAUUGACAAAUUGCUGUUAUGUUUUUAAUCCCCUACCAACAAAGUCGAAGGGGACUUUGGGUUUGCACUCCGUCUGUCUGUCCAUCUGUCAUUCCAGCAAAUCAGCUUUCCAC
rnacentral:lncRNA from 1 species